rnacentral:rRNA from 1 species
UACGUAGGGGGCAAGCGUUGUCCGGAUUUAUUGGGCGUAAAGAGCGUGUAGGCGGCCUGGAAGGUCAGCUGUGAAAACUCGAGGCUCAACCUCGAGACGUCGGCUGAAACCACCUGGCUAGAGUCCGGAAGAGGAGUGUGGAAUUCCCGGUGUAGCGGUGGAAUGCGCAGAUAUCGGGAGGAACACCGGUGGCGAAGGCGGUUCUCUGGGCCUUACCUGACGCUGAGGAGCGAAAGCGUGGGGAGCGAACAGG